UUUUAGGUUCUUUUAAGAACCAUUAUAAAUUGAAGUACUAUAAUUU
rfam:Hymenolepis diminuta genome assembly, scaffold: HDID_scaffold0000300